CUACGGGCGGCACCAGUCGAGGAUCUUUUGCAAUGGGCGAAAGCCUGACAAAGCGACGCCGCGUGAGUGAUGAAGGCCUUCGGGUUGUAAAACUCUGUUGCUUGUGAUGAAAUAGUUUUUAUAAACUAUUGACGGUAGCAAGCGAGGAAGCAAUGGCUAACUCCGUGCCAGCAGCCGCGGUAAUACGGAGAUUGCGAGCGUUUUUCGGAAUUACUGGGCGUAAAGGGCGUCUAGGUGGUUAAAUGGGUUAGGCAUGAAAUCCCUCGGCUCAACCGAGGAAUUGUGUUUAAAACUAUUUAACUUGAGUACAGAAGAGGAGAGUGGAAUUCCCAGUGUAGCGGUGAAAUGCAUAGAUAUUGGGAGGAACACCGGUGGCGAAAGCGGCUCUCUGGUCUGAUACUGACACUCAAGCGCGAAAGCUAGGGUAGCAAACAGGAUUAGAUACCCGCGUAGUC
rnacentral:rRNA from 1 species